rnacentral:rRNA from 1 species
UACGUAGGGCGCAAGCGUUAUCCGGAAUUAUUGGGCGUAAAGAGCUCGUAGGCGGUUUGUCGCGUCUGCUGUGAAAUCCCGAGGCUCAACCUCGGGCCUGCAGUGGGUACGGGCAGACUAGAGUGCGGUAGGGGAGAUUGGAAUUCCUGGUGUAGCGGUGGAAUGCGCAGAUAUCAGGAGGAACACCGAUGGCGAAGGCAGAUCUCUGGGCCGUAACUGACGCUGAGGCACGAAAGCGUGGGUAGCAAACAGG